rfam:Erythrobacter sp. AP23 contig9, whole genome shotgun sequence.
CCAGGGGGCCGGGCAGUCGCGGGAAACCGAGGAAAGUCCGGGCUCCACGAAACAAGGGUGGCGGGUAACGCCCGCCGGGCGCAAGCUCAGGGAAAGUGCCACAGAGAGCACACCGCCGAUGGCCUGCAUGCAGGUUCAGGCAAGGGUGAAAGGGUGCGGUAAGAGCGCACCGGGGCUUCGGCAACGCGGCCCGCAUGGCAAACCCCACCCGGAGCAAGGCCGAAUAGGGGCGGCGCGCCCGCGCGAGCGGGCAGGUGCGUUUCGCAUCGACCGUCCGGGUUGGCUGCUGGAGUCGCGGAGCGAUCCGCGGCUUAGACGAAUGACUGCCCCUGCGCGGCUGGUGUGCGAACAUACCGCGUGCAGGACAGAACCCGGCUUACAGGCCCCCUGGCAAU